GCCAGAAGGAAUUCUCUUAUCUUUUUCUGUCCCAGGGUCCCCAGUUCACCUUCUCCCAGGAUGACUUCCUGACUUCCAUCCUGCCAUCCCUCAAGGAAAUUGACACCAUGGUCUUCAUUUUUAUCCUGGAUGAUAACCUCACAGAAGUACAGGCCCUGGUUGAAAGGAUGAGGGAGAAGAGCCGGAACAUCGAGGCCCUGGUGCACAGCACUGUGGGGCAGUCCUUGCCAGCCUCUCUAAAGAAACUUUUUUCCUCGCUCAUCAGCAUCACAUGGCUACUUCUUUUCUUCGAUUACGAAGGGAGAGCUACGUUCAGGUAGGUGGGGAUGAGAAGGCAAUGUUUUCUAAGAAGGAGAGGAGUCCAA